rnacentral:rRNA from 1 species
GGACGAACGCUGGCGGCGUGCCUACUACAUGCAAGUAGAACGCUGAAGAGAGGAGCUUGCUCUUCUUGGAUGAGUUGCGAACGGUUGAGUAACGCGUAGGUAACCUGCCUGGUAGCGGGGGAUAACUAUUGGAAACGAUAGCUAAUACCGCAUAAAAUGUAUUAUCGCAUGAUAAUCCAUUUAAAGGUUCAAAUGCAUCACUACCAGAUGGACCUGCGUUGUAUUAGCUAGUUGGUGGGGUAACGGCUCACCAAGGCUACGAUACAUAGCGGACAUGAGAGGGUGAUCGGCCAAACUGGGACUGAGAAACGGAACAGAGUCCUACGGGAGGCAGCAGUAGGGAAUAUUAGGCAAUGGACGGAAGUCUGACGGAGAAACGCCGCGUGAGUGAAGAAGGUUUUCGGAUCGUAAAGCUCUGUUGUAAGAGAAGAACGAGUGUGAGAGUGGAAAGUUCAAAAUGUGACGGAAUCGUACAAGAAAGGGACGGCAAACUACGU